CAAACUGACAUGUAGAUAUUAUUAUAGUAGAGAUGGUGUCACAUAAGUCUGACGUCAAACAGCUCUACUCCACUGUUUUUUUCUUGAGUAUUUUCUAUUUUAAGAUUAAGAUUUUUUUGUGUCAUUAUUUGAGUUCAUUUUCCUCCCAAAGUGUUUGUGCAGAAAUAUAAACAGGACAUUGAUGUUAGUUGUUGUUUUAGUGAACUGAGAUUUAUGUCACUUUAUCAUGAUGUCAUCGUAUUUAUUACUCUGAAUGUUCCCUUUCUUAUCAACAUGUUUUCUUUUACUGAUUAUUCCUCUGCUGAAGCUAUUGACUUCUAUAUUUUCAUUUGAUUUUAUUGUUGGCAAAAACACAUAUUCAUGGAUCUUGCAAUCACAAACAAAAGUUUGUAAAACCUUCAAUUUAUCUACUUUAUUCCGUUUUCUUUAAUAUUCUUGUCCUGAUGUCACUGUGAUGUCACUGUGAUGUCACCAUGGUGUAUACUUUCUGUCUGUUGUUCUUGUUCAAUAAAGUUUUAAAGAAAUAAACCUGCUGGUGACUCCCAGUGUGCAGAGGUGGAGGAAGUAUUCAGAUCAUUUACUUCAGUAAACGUAUCAGUACUGUAAUAUAAAAAUACCCCAUCACAUUGAAAAUGUCUCUAAAGUAUCAAAAGUAAAGUACUAAUAAUUAAUAAGUGUGCCCUGUGAGUGUUACACUGUUAUAUAAGAUAGCAUUGGAUUGUUACUACUGAUGCAUUCAUGUGUAACAAGUAUCCUAUAGUUGUAGAAGUCAAGGUGGAGAUCAUUUGAACUCUUUUAGAGUAACUGCAGCUGUCAGAUAAAUGUAGUGCAGGAAAAAGUACAAUAGUCUCAUUUUAUUCUGCCACUCAGUAACGUCCGCGCCGCCAUCAUUACUUCAGUACCAGCAGGGGGCGCUGAAGUUCAACUGACUUUUCAUUCUAACACUCAGGAGUUGUUGUGUGCUCCAGCAACCACCAGGUGACAUCUGUGAGGGAGGUGGAGCCCGUGACAACAGCUGUGGGAAGCCCUCUGACUGUACAUGGUAGUUGUAGUCCUAUAGUAUAAUGCUUCCCUGCAGAGGUUUUCAGGUUGGAAACAAUCAAAGCUCCUCUCUUCCCCUCUCACUCUCUCUCUCUCUCUCUCUCUCUCUCUCUCUCUCUCUCUUUCUGCACUCAUUCAUGUCCCAUUAAUGCAUGUUACUAACUUCACUUCUUCCCCGGAGUUCUUGUGCUUUCUCGCAGGUUCUCAUGGAUCCUGGUGGUCCAGAGGCUUCAGAUGAGGACUGGAGUCAUUGCCAUGGAUACAGCGGGACAUAUGUCAAACAGUUGAACCUGUGAUCAUCUCAGAGUUUGUCUGAAGGGCGAACUGUAUUUGUCUCAACAGUUCAUGCAGCAUGUGUUGAGUGUGAUGCUGCAGUGUGUAGCAAAGACAUAUUAACUUAUGUACUUUCAUCCACCACAACUUCUGCUUCACCUUCGGCUGGUGCCCUGACAAUGGUGCAGUCACGGCCGCUACCUGUCCGCAGGUUAGUUUCACUUUGUGAGCUUGUCGUGUCAACUUCUUCUUUUGUCCAUCUGAAGGUUUGUAGGAGACACUUUCACUGUUUGAGUCCUCAGUGAGUCGUUGUUCAUCUUGUUGGUUUAGUUCAGUCGAAAGAGCAGAAACAACAAUCAACUUCAAAGUAAGUAACUUCAUGGAAGAUUUAUUCAUGAGUACAAUGGGAGUCUUUCUUACCAAGANNNNNNNNNNNNNNNNNNNNNNNNNNNNNNNNNNNNNNNNNNNNNNNNNNNNNNNNNNNNNNNNNNNNNNNNNNNNNNNNNNNNNNNNNNNNNNNNNNNNUUUUGCCUAAUGGCUUAUAAUCUAAUAGUAUGAAUUCAAAAGUUAUUAAAUAAUGGUCAGAUAGGAAAGGAUUAUGUGGGAAGACUAUUAAAUGUUCAAUAUCAAUGCCAUAUGAUAAAACAAGGUCAAGAGUGUGAUUAAAACAAUGAGUUGGUUUAUUUACACUCUGACAGAAGCCAAUUGAGUCUAUUAAUGAUAUAAAUGCAUUACUAAGGCUGUCAUUGUCAACAUCCACAUGAAUAUUAAAAUCACCUACAAUAAUUACUUUAUCUGAUUUAAGGACUAAGCUUGAUAGAAACUCUGAAAAUUCAGAUAUAAAAUCAGAGUACGGUCCAGGAGCACGGUACACUAUAACAAAUAGAACUGGCUGCAGUGUUUUCCAGUUUGGGUGAGAAAGACUAAGAACAAGGCUUUCAAAUGAAUUAUAAUUUAGUUUUGGUUUAGGGUCCAUUAAAACGCUCGAAUCAUAUAUAGCUGCUACUCCACCUCCUCGGCCAGUGCCUCGAGGAAUGUGAGUAUUAAUAUGACUGGGGGGGGUGGAUUCAUUUAGGCUAACAUACUCCUCGUGGGACAACCAGGUCUCAGUAAGACAAAGUAAAUCAAUAUCAUAAUCUGAUAUUAAUUCAUUCACUAAAACAGCUUUAGAGGACAGAGACCUGAUAUUUAACAGCCCACAUUUCAUUCUCUUAUUUUGUGCUACUGAGGAGUUAGUUUUAAUUUUUAUUAGAUUUUUAUGUUGAACUCCUCUUGUUUUUAUUUCUUUAAAUAGUUUAGGUGGUC
rnacentral:lncRNA from 15 species